AGAGUGAACGCUGGCGGCAGGCCUAACACAUGCAAGUCGAACGGCAGCACAGUAAGAGCUUGCUCUUAUGGGUGGCGAGUGGCGGACGGGUGAGGAAUACAUCGGAAUCUGCCUAUUUGUGGGGGAUAACGUAGGGAAACUUACGCUAAUACCGCAUACGACCUACGGGUGAAAGCGGAGGACCUUCGGGCUUCGCGCAGAUAGAUGAGCCGAUGUCGGAUUAGCUAGUUGGUGGGUAAAGGCCCACCGAAGGCGACGAUCCGUAGCUGGUCUGAGAGGAUGAUCAGCCAACACUGGAACUGAACGACGACGGUCCAGACUCCGUAACGGGAGCAGCAGGUGGGGAAUAGUUGGAACAAGUGGGACGCGAAGCCUAGACUCCAGCCAUCGCCGCGUGAGUAGGAAGACGCCGUCGGUAGUAA
rnacentral:rRNA from 1 species